rnacentral:rRNA from 1 species
UCAGCGGCGGACGGGUGAGUAACACGUGGGCAACCUGCCUGUAAGACUGGGAUAACUCCGGGAAACCGGGGCUAAUACCGGAUAACUCUUUUCCUCACAUGAGGAAAAGCUGAAAGAUGGUUUCGGCUAUCACUUACAGAUGGGCCCGCGGCGCAUUAGCUAGUUGGUGAGGUAACGGCUCACCAAGGCCACGAUGCGUAGCCGACCUGAGAGGGUGAUCGGCCACACUGGGACUGAGACACGGCCCAGACUCCUACGGGAGGCAGCAGUAGGGAAUCUUCCGCAAUGGACGAAAGUCUGACGGAGCAACGCCGCGUGAGUGAUGAAGGUUUUCGGAUCGUAAAACUCUGUUGUCAGGGAAGAACAAGUACCGGAGUAACUGCCGGUACCUUGACGGUACCUGACCAGAAAGCCACGGCUAACUACGUGCCAGCAGCCGCGGUAAUACGUAGGUGGCAAGCGUUGUCCGGAAUUAUUGGGCGUAAAGCGCGCGCAGGCGGUUCCUUAAGUCUGAUGUGAAAGCCCCCGGCUCAACCGGGGAGGGUCAUUGGAAACUGGGGAACUUGAGUGCAGAAGAGAAGAGUGGAAUUCCACGUGUAGCGGUGAAAUGCGUAGAGAUGUGGAGGAACACCAGUGGCGAAGGCGACUCUUUGGUCUGUAACUGACGCUGAGGCGCGAAAGCGUGGGGAGCAAACAGGAUUAGAUACCUGGUAGUCCACGCCGUAAACGAUGAGUGCUAAGUGUUAGAGGUUUCCGCCC